rnacentral:rRNA from 1 species
GAUGAACGCUGGCGGCGUGCCUAACACAUGCAAGUCGAGCGAACCACUUUGGAAAGAUUCUUCGGAUGAUUUCCUUUGUGACUGAGCGGCGGACGGGUGAGUAAUGCCUGGGUAACCUGCCUCACACCGGGGGAUAACAGUUAGAAAUGACUGCUAAUACCGCAUACGACCACCGUACCGCAUGGUCCAUUGGUCAAACCUCCGGUGGUAUGAGAUGGAACCGUGUCUGAUUAGGUAGUUGGUGGGGUAACGGCCUACCCAGCCGACGAUCAGUAGCCGAGCUGAGAGGGUGAGCGGCCACAUUGGGACUGAGACACGGCCCAGACUCUUACGCGAUGGAGCAGAGGGGAAUAUUGCACAAUGGAGGAAACGCUGAUGCAGCGACGCCGCGAGAAGGAUGAAGUAUUUCGGUAUGUAAACUGCUAGUAGCAAGGAAGAAAAUGACGGUACCUGACGAGGAAGCCCCGGCUAACUACGUG